rnacentral:rRNA from 1 species
GAGUUUGAUCCUGGCUCAGAUUGAACGCUGGCGGCAGGCCUAACACAUGCAAGUCGAGCGGAUGACGGGAGCUUGCUCCUUGAUUCAGCGGCGGACGGGUGAGUAAUGCCUAGGAAUCUGCCUCAAAGACUGGGAUAACUUUCCGAAAGGAAUGCUAAUACCAGAUAAGACCACGAUUUUUAAAUUAUUGGGGUCAAAGGGCGCUUUCGGAUGUCGCUUUGAGAUGGGCCUGCGGUACAUUAGCUAGAUGGUGGGGUAACGGCCUACCAUGGCAACGAUGUAUAGCUGGUCUGAGAGGACGAUCAGCCACACUGGAACUGAGACACGGGCCAGACUCCUACGGGAGGCAGCAGUAGGGAAUUGUUCGCAAUGGGCGCAAGCCUGACGACGCAACGCCGCGUGGAGGAUGAAGACCUUCGGGUCGU